UACGAAGGGGGCUAGCGUUGCUCGGAAUCACUGGGCGUAAAGCGCACGUAGGCGGAUUGUUAAGUCAGGGGUGAAAUCCUGGAGCUCAACUCCAGAACUGCCUUUGAUACUGGCGAUCUUGAGUCCGGAAGAGGUGAGUGGAACUCCGAGUGUAGAGGUGAAAUUCGUAGAUAUUCGGAAGAACACCAGUGGCGAAGGCGGCUCACUGGUCCGGUACUGACGCUGAUGUGCGAAAGCGUGGGGAGCAAACAGG
rnacentral:rRNA from 1 species